rnacentral:lncRNA from 1 species
AGUCCCUCUUGCCUGGAGCAUUAACACAACGUGGCUGCAAAGUUAGUCCUUUCCCGCUACCAUCUCCUGAAUACUGGGACUAACUACACGUAUGCACGAACCUGCCCAUCUUUGCCUCUGUUAACAGCUGCCACUGUCUCUUCACGACAUGAUGGCUGACCUAGGAUUCUGAGGAGUUAAUGUUUCCAUGAAUAUCUCAGAAGGAGAUGUGGACAAACGAACAGUUAUCUCACUCCUGUAGUGUGGCUCAAGGUAAGCCCACCUUCCUGAGUGAUUGUCCCUUGGCCAAGCACAUGACUCAGCCCAACUGGAUUAAUUUGUAAGGGAGGAGACAAUGGCAUGCCUGCACCCAGAGGUUGGACUACAGUGAUCACUGAGUAGGAGCUUCGUCUUUAAAAUCUGGGGUGUGCUGUUAUGCAAUCUUCUUUCCCUGCCCAGUACUGGAUCUGUGAAAAGCUGAAUCAUGAAUCAGUGAGUGUGCGGAUUGGAACCCAAGUUGCUCUCUGGAUAGAACGAAAGGAGUCGUGCCCCAAGAAGAUGGAGAGGGAAGUUAUGAAAUGCUGUGACCAAAUAACAAAUGCUGAUGUUUGGGGAGAUAACUGUUUCCCAUAGGAAAUAGAGUGAAUGCGAUGUCUUUCUUUUGUGAGGGAUUCAUAGACCGCUUCUCAACGCUUGUUACAUGUUACUCCUUUUUUCGAGAUUUUUAUUUACCUAACUGGGAAAGAAACCAGAACAAGGUUUUCAUUGAAUUCUGAUACAGGUAUUUAAAGACUUACGGACAAGAUAUAGAAGAAGAAGUGGUAAUUAACUGAUUAAAGAAGUACAGUUUAUAUCCAGUAGACAGACAGGCUCCAGACAUCCUUAGUGCUGUCUUAGCAUCAAAGGUUAAUCUACCUAAUACUUGUCAUCCUGAAAUGCAUGGUGGAACAUCCAACAGACAAGAGCUACUUCAGGGAAGGACUAUGAUUUUUGUCGUGGAAGACAUUUAACACAGGGCAGCUCCUGUGCACUUACAUGAUAGAUAUUGCUCUUCCGGGGACUCUGAAUGCUCAUCCCACUUUCAGCUCACUAGGCACAUCGAACUAGAAAUUUUAUCAUCUCGUGAAUUAGUCCAAUACCUGAAGGAGCAAGAGAACCAACACCCAGUUGACAAGAAUAUGACCUGUUGAUUGAAGACCAUUAAGAAAGUAACUUGAUUCAGUUGGACUGGACUUUUUUAUUCUAUUGAAAAAGGAAUUUAUUUCCCCUCAGUGAACGUAACAUGAUCAACAUUUUGAAAGUUGUGAACAUGCAUAGUUCUAUAAUUUACAAAAUAAUUAUAAAAAUCUGAGUAUGGAUGCAGCAUAAUUUCAGAACAGAAUAGCCAUCAUACUUUUUAUAUAUCUUAAAUUCGAGUUUUCAAGAGUAUAUUUCUAUGUUAUAUCCUUUGAUUAGUACAAUAUAAAAUCUACAUCUAAUAUGUACUUCAGGUUUUAUUAGAUCAUGCCAUAUUACUGUACAAUUUGGACUUUUCCAUUUUUAUAUAAAAUGUAACAUGCAUUGUACAUUAAUAUUUAUAUAUCUUGUUUAUUUAUAUAUCUUUAGAAUUAAUUUCUGCCAAUUAUUUUCUUUAUUUGAAUACUUGGGGUAUCAUAAAGGUGCUGUUGAGGUAUUCUCAAUAUGCUUGUACAACUUCCUGCCUGUAGUUAAUAAAUGUGGAUAUUUCAUUAAA